AGCAGCCGCCGCGGGAAUACGAAGGGUGCGAGCGUUACUCGGAAUUACUGGGCGUAAAGCGUGCGUAGGUGGUGGUUUAAGUCCGUUGUGAAAGCCCUGGGCUCAACCUGGGAAUUGCAGUGGAUACUGGGCGACUAGAGUGCGGUAGAGGAUAGUGGAAUUUCCGGUGUAGCAGUGAAAUGCGUAGAGAUCGGAAGGAACAUCAGUGGCGAAGGCGGCCAUCUGGGACAACACUGACGCUGAGGCACGAAAGCGUGGGGAGCAAACAGGAUUAGAUACCCCUGUAGUCCCUGUCUCUUAUAC
rnacentral:rRNA from 1 species